UACGUAGGGUGCGAGCGUUGUCCGGAAUUAUUGGGCGUAAAGCGUGCGUAGGCGGUGGUCCAAGUCUGGUGUGAAAUCUCCCGGCUCAACUGGGAGGGUGCGCCGGAAACUGGGCCGCUGGAGUAUGGGAGAGGCAAGCGGAAUUCCAGGUGUAGCGGUGAAAUGCGUAGAUAUCUGGAGGAACACCCGUGGUGCAGACGGCUUGCUGGACCAUGACUGACGCUGAGGCACGAAAGCGUGGGUAGCAAACAGG
rnacentral:rRNA from 1 species